rnacentral:rRNA from 1 species
UACGGAGGGUGCAAGCGUUAAUCGGAAUUACUGGGCGUAAAGCGCACGUAGGUGGUUUGUUAAGCCAGCUGUGAAAUCCCCGGGCUCAACCUGGGCACUGCAGUUGGAACUGGCAAGUUAGAGUAGGGUAGAGGGGUGUGGAAUUCCAGGUGUAGCGGUGAAAUGCGUAGAUAUCUGGAGGAACAUCAGUGGCGAAGGCGACACCCUGGACUCAUACUGACACUGAGGUGCGAAAGCGUGGGGAGCAAACAGG